rnacentral:rRNA from 1 species
UGGACGAAAGUCUGACGGAGCAACGCCGCGUGAGUGAAGAAGGUUUUCGGAUCGUAAAGCUCUGUCUUCAGGGACGAAUGUGCUUAAUGUGAAUAAUGUUAAGUAAUGACGGUACCUGAGGAGGAAGCCACGGCUAACUACGUGCCAGCAGCCGCGGUAAUACGUAGGUGGCAAGCGUUGUCCGGAAUUAUUGGGCGUAAAGCGCGCGCAGGCGGGAAUGUAAGUCUGUCUUAAAAGUUCGGGGCUCAACCCCGUGAUGGGAUGGAAACUACAUUUCUUGAGUGCAGGAGAGGAAAGUGGAAUUCCUAGUGUAGCGGUGAAAUGCGUAGAUAUUAGGAGGAACACCAGUGGCGAAGGCGACUUUCUGGACUGUGUCUGACGCUGAGGCGCGAAAGCCAGGGGAGUGAACGGGAUUAGAUACCCCGGUAAUCCUGGCCGUAAACGAUGGGUACUAGGUGUAGGAGGUAUCGACCCCUUCUGUGCCGGAGUUAACGCAAUAAGUACCCCGCCUGGGGAGUACGG